UACGGGGGGGAGCAAGCGUUGUUCGGAUUUACUGGGCGUAAAGGGCGCGUAGGCGGCCAGCACAAGUCAGUUGUGAAAUCUCCGGGCUUAACUCGGAAAGGUCAACUGAUACUGUGCGGCUAGAGUGCAGAAGGGGCAACUGGAAUUCUCGGUGUAGCGGUGAAAUGCGUAGAUAUCGAGAGGAACACCAGUGGCGAAGGCGGCUUACUGGUCCGGUUCUGACGCUGAGGCGCGAAAGCGUGGGGAGCAAACAGG
rnacentral:rRNA from 1 species